CUCUUUCAAAAACUACGUUCAAUCAGCUCAAACACGGUAUCAGUAAAGGCAACUUGGCCCAUUAUUUUUUAGGGCCUAAACACGGUAUUAAGUAAUAGCUUAUGGCCCAUUAUCUUUUGGGGCCCAAAUCUAAAAAGCUUUUUUUUUUCAUUUGACCAAAACUAUUAAUAAGAGAAUUUUCCAACAAUAUCUCAAAAACAAAUAAUAAAAAGAAAAAAUUUAAGAAAUAAAGAUAGAGAAUAUCUGAAAUAAAAACCCAAUAGAUAUCUUCUACAGUACCUUCUACAGGACUUUUGAGUAUUUGCCAAAAUGUGAUUAGUUUCAAUUUUUUUUUUUAAUAGCUACUUAUUAAAAAAUAUAUUUAAAUAAUAACAUUUUAAGUUUUAAAGACUUAUUUUUAGAUACUACAUUGAAGAUGUUCUGAAUUCUCUUCUUCAAACUUGGCUAAAAAUUAAAGGUUUAAAAAAUAAUUGGUAACAGAACAACAACACAUUUGGUUGAAUAUUGUACAUCUUUAUAUAUGUAUAUAUGAUACUACGAUGCAUCUGGGGACUUUGAAAAUCAACAUUAUAAUGAGGCAGUUUCAAGGCUCUCCAGCGCGCCACGUCAGCCAAUGUGGGACCCACCUUUUUUUUUCUAAAAACCGGCGAUUUCUGGUUGGGCUUUGAUUUUGUUCUGAGAUACUGAUGGGCUUCUUAUUAUCAAGGUUUCUUCCGGGUUUUGAUAAGAAGAGAGACGGAACCGUCGGGUUCUUCCAGUUCCUUCAUCUAUGUUGAUUCCUCUUCAGCCUUAUCAUCGAAUUAACUCGAUCUUAAUGUCUCUCCGCAGAUCCUCAGACGACGAAACGUCAUCCUGUAACGCCUCCAGAAGGCUCCUAUAUAUAGAUUUCCAAGCAAGCUAUCGUUUUCCUCGAUACUUCUAUCCUCUACCUUUUUCGAUCCUUCAGUCUUGUGAUACGUUGUUGAUGAAGACAUUUUCGGAUACUUUCCUCGGACCAGCCCGAUUAAGUGUUUUAGAGAGGUAAUCACGAAAUCUGUCCCUUCUUUGCCGAACUAAUGAUUCCAUUCUGAAUCCUUGGGGAUCUUAAUGUUGAUUUGUCAGUCGAAAGGCCGUAUUGGUUUUUCAUUGUGCCUUCCAUGUUCACAAGUUUGGAAAUUCUUCACCUCCUUUUAGAGCCUCGAUCCUUCACUCGCUAAACCAUCCAAACGUACUCAGUUUCUAUGCGUUGUAAAGAUAUGGCUACCAUAUAAACAAUUUGGGACUCUAUAAUUAAUUGUUUCUGGUGAUCGUCUUCUUAUUAUCUCAGGUAUGAAAUGUGUGCUUACAUGAGGUUAGUUCUGGAAUAUUGCUUUCGGGUGAUCUCAAUACAUUUCUGCAGCAGAGGAAGACAAUUGAGAGGAGAAGACGCUGAACACUUGAAAGAAGAAUAAAUGCCUCCUCCCAAGAAUCACAUAUAUACUCUCCUCUUUGAUGAACAACGUGUUCAAAGAAGAACUUAUUUUCGAAGAAAAAUCCGCUCCAGUGUCCCAAUUCGGAUUCAGUACAAGUCGCAGACAAUUUACCCGUCUGACAUCGAUGAGCACCGUUAAGGCGAGAGUUUGAGAUUGAUAAUUCUUCUUGGUGGUUUGAUCCCUGAGGAGGCCAGAGUCAGGAUCAUCUGACGCUGGGUUUGGAGUGUGCUUUGGUGCUUUGUUCUCAAAGUAGAGAUGGUUUGAUUUCCCAAAAGAAAUCAACCAAAACACCAUCUCACAACCUCUUUUUAGUCUGGUUUCGGCCCAUGUAAACUCUUAUGUUCUUUAUGUAAACACGUAGAUGACAUAAAUAAAGAAUUUCCUUUUUUUCUCUGCUGUUUUUGUUUCUCAGUUUCCUUGGUUUGAGAAAUAGUGACACCAGUUCCAAGAUUGGCUCCCAGCAGCAGAAUCCUCAAACCAUCUUGCUGCCUCAAAGUCACAGUCUUCCAUUUCUUAAAAAAGCAUGUACUGUCCAAAACAGUUGGGACCUUCAGAAGAAGGCGUUGAACAUUCGUGCAGGAAGUUUCCUAUCACUAUGAAGAUGCUCCAUUCCAAGCCUUUCAAAGAGUCGAGAAAUGCAGGAAGUUGGAAUUUCGAUAGGUGUUGGGGUGCAGAGAGAAGGCUGACAAAGAUGCACCAUUCGCCUUCACUUUCGUUAUGCAAAACCAAUGGUCAUGACACAUGCAAGUGAGAAAUGAAGGUGCUCAAGGUCGGGGUAAAUGAUGUUCAAAAACAAAAAAAAAAGUAAACAGACUAGGAAUACAUCUAAAUGGUGUUUAAAAACACAGAAGAAUGAAAGUAAGCCAGGUUAAAUGAAAUAAUCACUACUUAAUAAAACGAUUUGCAUCUUUACAUGUAUAAUAUUAAAAAUUUAUAAGUGGCCAAUCUUUAGAUAAAAAAAUAGAAAUUGAAAGAAAAGAGGAAGCUGGCUUAUUAACGACGAACUACAUUCAAAUAGGCAUGAUUCAAUUAUGAUACAACUCAAACCCAAAAUUAUUAAAUCAGUAAUGAAAUGGUAAUACAAUGCACGGUCCCCGCGCUUGCGCGGGGUGACGAUCCCUAGUAAUUCUAGUGAGCCAACAAAAAUCCACACUCUCCCUGAUCAUGUGGUGGUGGCUCAAACCCAAAAAGAAAAAAAAGAUCGUAUGGUUUGUAAUUUAACUGUACGUGUAUAUAAAUUAUGAACGUAGUAUAGUUAUAUAUGUGUGAUAAAUCUAUUCAAAAUAUAAAAUGGACAAAGGUGAGUAAGUGACUGCGACAAAAAGGUAGGUAAAAAUGUUAUAUGGAUAGUCGAUAUGUAUUGCAACCUAUUAAGAUUUCGAGGUACCUCAGAGCCCUUUCUCAAAAAAAAAAAGAUUUCGAAAUAUCUUUUGUCAGUUAUGUAUAAAGUUUUUUCGUAAGAGAAUCAAAUCUAUUAAAACAGGAGAUGUAGUCCAAGUAUUCUAAUAGAAUAUAUUAAAAAAAUUUAUUAAUCAUUUAAAAGAAAUAUUAUACAAAAAAAACAAAUA